CACCCUCUGUCCUGCAGGGCUGCUCAGCUCGUGUUCAUUAUGUCACAGAAUCAUAGAAUACUUUGUGCUGGAAGGGGCCUUUAAAGCUCACCUAUUCCAACCCCUCAGGCACUCCCGUUUGAGCUAGGGAUGGGUCUCUCUAGAGGGAGCACAGGAAUUUCAUCCCUUCAGCAGAGCAGGACAAGGGACAGUGGCUUCAAACUGAGAGAGAGCAGGGUUAGAUUAGACGUUAGGAAGAAAUAGUUCCAUAUUAGGAUCAGAAGCCCUGUCAGAGACUGCCCAGAGAAACUGUGGUUGAACCAUUCCUGGAAACGUUCAAGACCAGACUAAGUCCUGUUCUCAGACAGCUUGGAGCAGGCUGCCUUGUCUCACAUAAACUCUCAAGAGGUAUUCCAGCCCUGCAGAGCAAACUCCCAGUACUGGUGUGUAACUGGUGGAUACAGGAGCAGCAGCAGAACCCAGGCAGAGCCAUCUGAAUGCACUUUUCACCUCAGUGGUGCAAGUGGUUUGUAGUGUGCUGUAAGUGCAGAGAAACUACUGAAAACCAUUUUCAUGGGAAGUGAGAGCUCCCCAUGAAACAAAGCAGAAAACAUAGGUGUUUCUCCUUCAUGAAGAUGAAAUCAUCACAGGCCCGAGAUGUUAAUCUACCGUGUUUUUUUUAAUCAUCCUUUCAGAGUUAAUAAAUGUCCUGUAGCAAAGUA